GUUAGUUUAGCAGCGAUGAUAUGAUAAUGAAAUUAUAAUAAUAAAUUAUCUUCGUUUUUUUGUGCAAAUGGGGCUCUUUUUAUGAAACUAUUUAUGCUACUAUGAUUACAACACUGUAAUCUCACACCGUCUUUCAAGACAUUAUUUCACUCUAUACUUCUAACUCUUGGUCGCAAUAUCUAGCGCAGCUCUCUUCUCCAUAAAAUUAUCCGUCAUUCUUUUACAAAUUUACUAUGAACUUUCAUCUCAAUUAUGUUGUUUUCCAAAGAAACAUUACCAUCGUAAUUUGUAUGGAUCCUCUACCUAAAGGUAAGUUACACAAUCAAUAAGGUGUACAAUGGGCUUAUAUAUCUUCCUUUUUUAUAUUUUUAUACGCUUUUCUUUCUUUCCCUUUAAUGUUUGCUUAUAAAAUUAGCUAUAAAGCAACAAACUGCAAUCUGAAUGUAGAACUAAUUCACUAAUCAAUGCAAAACAUAUAUAAGCAAAGACGGACUACAACACAGCCAAACGAUCCUAAAAUCCACAAAUAUGCGACCAACAAUAACAGAUAAAUCUGAAUCAUAAUAAAUUGACAAAAUAAACAGUAAGAUAUUUGUACCAAUAAAGAAACCUACAAUCUAAGCUUUGAACUUUAAUCCCAUUAAUAGAUUUUAUUCAGCUAUCGAAGAAAAUUACUAAAAAUUGAAAAGAUUAAAGUUUAUUGGAGCAAACAUUGCACAUACGUAUAUAUAAGGAGAGAGAAUUGACUUUUGCCAGUGAAAUUUAGCAGUGGCUCCGUAAAACUUUGAAUCUGAGGUCGAUCUCGUCAUCUCCGGAGAGGUCUAAGUUUGUUGGUCGGGCUAUUGGAGCAAUAGUGAUAGUAAUUUUGGGGGGUUAAAUACACUUUUCGUCACUCUACUCGACUCCGGUUUACAAAUACAUCACUGAACUCAAAAUUUUUACGGUCAACUCAUUGAACUAUAAUUUCUUUACAAAAAUCCGAAAAAUCGUCUACUCUGUUAAAAUAUUAACGGAAAAUUUAUGUGGCACAUGUAUAAUAAGCUGACAAGGAGAGAGAAUUUGAGUUGGAUAAUGAUUUAAAUUAAAAUAUACACAAUUCUAUAACAAAUAAUUAAAAGGAAGAUAUCCUUUUAAUUAUUCUCCAUUUCUCUCUCCUCUUCAACUAACAUAUUCUCCAUUUCUCUCUCCUCUUCAAAAGGAAGAUAUCCACAUCCAAAGGCAGAAAAAGUGAAACGGGUGGGGAGAGCCUUUUCACCUUUCCAAUUUUUCUCACCUCGACUGAAGAGAGAGAAAGUGAAGAAAAACACAGUCUAGAGACAUGGAAAUUAAGCAACAUAUGCACAAGGAGGAGGUGGAUAAAUAAAGAUCGGAUCAGUAUUUCAAUUUUUUGAUGGUAGAUCUGAUCGAAAGGGAAAGGAGGAAGAGGGCGGUUAGAUCAGAAAUCUGGCAGAAAGGAGGAAGAUGACGUUUCUCCUUUUCAAAUACAGAAAUCGUGGCGUUUCAUCCACUUUAUUACUUGAUCUGUUUAUCGUGGUAGAUGAUCCACUUCUCGGCGACGAGGAGGACGUCGGCGAUGGCCGAGAUCAGAUCUGUUGGGUCAAAUUAAUUUGUUGGUUCUGAGCUGAUUCACUAUGUUUGGUGCUUAAUUCUUUUAGUGGAAUCAGUUUGGUGUUAAUCUGGUUAUUUUAGUCGAUUAUUGUUAUUGUUUUGAAACUGAUUGAUUGGUUUAUUGUUGGGUUUUUUUGAAUUUCUUCCCCCAUCUCGCCGGCAACAAUGGCGACUACUUUUGAACACGCCGGAAUUUGGGUUUGUUCGGUGCAAAUUAGUUCUUGUUUUUGGUUUUGGGGUUUUCUGUUUUGUGUGGAUUAUUCUGUAUCGAUCGGAUAAUAUCGCUGGAAUCUGGGUUUUUUAGUUUAGUUGAAUGAUGAAUGUGAUAAUUUUGCCCCUGUAGCUACUAAAUGAAUGAUAAGUUUUAAUUUGUUUUUUUAGUUUGAUUUUAAUUGCCCAAAUUUUUUGUUUUUACCGUAAGACCCUAAC
rnacentral:lncRNA from 1 species